UGUGUGUGGGGGGGAGAGUGGGAGAUGUCAAUUAGGAGUGGGGAAUUGUGGGUGGUUUGGGUAGUUUAGGUUUUUUAAUUUUUUUUUUCUAAAAAUAAAUAAAUAAAUAAAUAAAAACUAAAAAUGAAACUUAUUUAAAAAUGUGACUCUAUUUUUGUAGUCUUUUUUUCCAGAAUUUUCAAAAAUAAAUUUAGUAAAAAAUAAGUUAAAUUUAGAAUAUCUAAUUUGGACCCUAAAACGAAAUUGAACACUAAAUGGCAAAAAC
rnacentral:lncRNA from 1 species